rnacentral:rRNA from 1 species
GGGCCCGCACAAGCGGAGGAACAUGUGGUUUAAUUCGAUGAUACGCGAGGAACCUUACCCGGGCUGGAACGCGGGGAGACGGAUGGGGAAACUCAUUUUUCAGCAAUGACUGCCUGCGAGGUGCUGCAUGGUUGUCGUCAGCUCGUGCCGUGAGGUGUCGGCUUAAGUGCCAUAACGAGCGCAACCCUUAUUGUCAGUUGCCAUCGGGUAAUGCCGGGGACUCUGGCAAAACUGCCGGCGUAAGCCGCGAGGAAGGUGGGGAUGACGUCAAAUCAGCACGGCCCUUACGUCCGGGGCGACACACGUGUUACAAUGGGAGGUACAGAGGGCCGCUACCGGGUGACCGGAUGCCAAUCUUCAAAGCCUCUCUCAGUUCGGAUCGGAGUCUGCAACCCGACUCCGUGAAGCUGGAUUCGCUAGUAAUCGCGCAUCAGCCACGGCG